rnacentral:lncRNA from 1 species
AAAGGAGAAAUUCCCUGGUUUCUCCUUUCCUCUCAUUCUCCAGUUUCCUGCUAGUGUUACCAAUGGACCAUACCUAGUUGGACAUCAGCUGGCAAGGGAGCUUGAAAAUAUCACUUAAAGGGAAGAUGGGAAAUGAAUCUGAGAAUAAACAGAAUAUGCCUGGUUGACUUCCACCUGGAUUCUCACUGGUCUGGACUGAAAGGCUGAGAAACCGGGAAAAGAAUGGUCAUAACUGUCAGAGACCAAUUACAGUUCCCCAUCUGAAGUUGUGCAUAAUGUUAUUGUAAGCAAAACAGGGUUUCAGAUGGCAGUUAAGAGUAGAGAAUGGAAAGUGGGGUCCCACGUUUUGUUACCUCUGACAGUGGAAAGGCAACUGAAGCUCCAAGAUUCAUGUACAAGAGGGUCUCAAAACCCUUAAAGCUAUUUGAAGCUAAUGGUUUGUACAUUCUAGUUUACAACUCUGAGAUACAAUAUCAAAUAAGCAUUGUCAACUCCUAGUGCUAUGGAAAAAACUCUUAAGUACCAUGGACAAAAACAGACAGAGCAAAGGGAAGAGGAUUGGAAGUUCCAGGGCGGUCAUAGCUGCAAUUUUAUAUAGAAUGUCCAGGUGGGGAUCUUUUGUGCUACAGCCUCAUCUGGUUUUUACU